rnacentral:rRNA from 1 species
GGUGGUGACUUAAGUUCCUUAGAACAGGACAUCAAAGAGGGUGAUAAUCCCGUCGUGUGAAGCUACUUCGACGAGUCGAGUUGUUUGGGAAUGCAGCUCAAAAUGGGUGGUAAAUUUCAUCUAAAGCUAAAUAUCAGCCAGAGACCGAUAGCGCACAAGUAGAGUGAUCGAAAGAUGAAAAGCACUUUGAAAAGAGAGUCAAAAAGCACGUGAAACUGUUUGGAGGGAAGCGCUUGUGAUCAGACUUGCAGUGUUCAGCCUCCUGAAAAGGCACUCGGCCAACAUCAGUUUCGGCGGCCGGACAAAGACCUGAAGAAUGUGGCUUCCCCGGAGUGUUAAGCUUGAAAUGCGGCCCGCCGGGACUGAGGAAAGCGCUUGCUCGGAUGUUGGCAUAAUGGUCAUCAGCGACCCGUCUUGAAACACGGACCAAGGAGUCGUGCCAUCCCGCGAGCGUUAGGGUGUAAAACCCUUGCGCGGAAUGAAAGUGAACGUAGGUGGGAGCUUUUUGCGCACCAUCGACCGAUCCGAGUUCGCGAGGAUUUGAGUAUGAGUGUGAUGGCACGGACCCGAAAGAAGGUGAACUAUUGCUGACUAGGCCGAAGCCAGAGGAAACUCUGGUGGAGGGUCGCAGCGGUUCUGACGUGCAAAUCGAUCGUCAAAGCUGGCAAUAGGGGCGAAAGACUAAUCGAACCUUCUAGUAGCUGGUUCCUGUCGAAGUUUCCCUCAGGAUAGCAGCAACGCAGUCUCAUGAGGUAGAGC